GGAGGGUGCGAGCGUUAAUCGGAAUGACUGGGCGUAAAGAGCGCGUAGGCGGCGAGAUAAGUUACAGGUAAAAUCCCCGGGCUCAACCUGGGAAGGCCCUGUAAAACUAUCUGGCUAGAAUAUAGGAGAGGGAAGUGGAAUUUCCGGUGUAGCGGUGAAAUGCGUAGAUAUCGGAAAGAACACCAGUGGCGAAGGCGGCUUUCUGGUCUAAUAUUGACGCUGAGGAGCGAAAGCGUGGGUAGCGAACAGGAUUAGAUACCCUGGUAGUCCACGCUGUAAACGAUGAGAACUAGACGCUUGGUGACUAAGGUUAGUGGGUGUUGAAGCAAACGCAUUAAGUUCUCCGCCUGGGGGAGUACGACCGCAAGGUUA
rnacentral:rRNA from 1 species